rnacentral:tRNA from 1 species
AUUUAUAUAAUAUAAUAAGUAUUUUUGACUUCCAAUCAAACAGUCUAAUUCUUUUUAGUAUAAAUA